AGAGAUCAUCAGUUUGAAGAGGCUACACAGAUUAACACCUAAACCAGAAAGAAGUCCUAGGAUGGCAAAGAUUUCACGCAACCAUCUUGUUCUCGUAGCUUUUUUCCUGCUUUGCUUUGCUUCCACCUGUGCUAGAGCAGCAAGGACUUUGCGAGAGGUUAACAAUCAUGAAGUAGAGAAGAAGGACCAUAAUAAUCUGUUUCCAUCAAAAGAAAAUGGGUUACAUGAUGUGGAUGAACUAGCUGGGAUGGACUACACCCCAGCAAGUAAGAAGCCUCCAAUCCAUAACUAAAAUGGAAAAAUUUUGGUUGAGCUACUAUAAGAGUUUAGCCUAUUCUUGUACCUACACUUCUAUAUAUGAUUUUGAGCUUAAUAAUUAAUAUAGCUUUGUAGCUAGUGCCUAGCAGAUACAUUUUAAUAUAUAGAUGGGGCAAAUACUGCACUAUAUUAAUUACUCUGUGGUUAUUUAGAGCGUAACUUGCAAUACAUGUUGCACUAGGGGGGGUUCCGUGUAUGGAAAUUGAUCUUUUGUCACUUAGGUUAUAUCAAGGCAUAAAGUUAGCUGACUUGUAGCAUGAUAUACAGAUGUAUCUGCUAUGCUUGUAAUACCUUGGUUAUGAAAUCCAAGUGCAAUUUUCUUUUCU